GGAGGUGUCCGGGUACCUGGUGGACUCCGCCGCCUUCAAAGCGGUUGGAAGGGGCGAUCCCCCUUCGGCGGGUUCGAUUCCCGUCCACCUCCGCCA
rnacentral:tRNA from 1 species